rnacentral:rRNA from 1 species
AACGAAUGGAGCAAGGGUUGUUCGGAAUCACUGGGCUUAAAGCGUGCGUAGACUGACAUGAAAGUCAGAAGUGAAAGCCCCGGGCUCAACCCGGGAACUGCUGUUGAAACUGCAUGUCUAGAGACCUGGAGGGUCUAGCAGAAUUCCGAGUGUAGUGGUGAAAUUCGCAGAUAUUCGGACGAAUACCAGUGGAGUAGGCAGCUAGCUGGACAGGUACUGACGCUGAGGUACGACAGGGUGAGGAGCAAACAUG